UACGAAGGGGGCUAGCGUUGUUCGGAAUUACUGGGCGUAAAGCGAGUGUAGGUGGUUGUCACAGUCAGGUGUGAAAGCCUUGAGCUCAACUCAAGAAAUGCACUUGAUACUAGGCGACUAGAGUACCGGAGAGGAUAGUGGAAUUCCCAGUGUAGUGGUGAAAUACGUAGAGAUUGGGAAGAACACCAGUGGCGAAGGCGACUCACUGGACACGUAUUGACGCUGAGGUGCGAAAGCGUGGGGAGCAAACAGG
rnacentral:rRNA from 1 species